ensembl:lncRNA
AGAAACCCACAACCCGCAAUUCCCCCGUCGCCCCCCCCCCCAGGCUGGACGCCCCCCCGCGAUGCCGUCGGUGUGGAUCUGUGCACGUGGGACCCCGCGGUGCGGCGCGAUUCCUUCCACGGCUUCAAUGCGCGGCACCAGGACAGCAGCGACGACCUGACGCAAGCGGGGGGGCCGCAGGAUGAGAACCUCCUCGUGCAGGACGGGGGGGGCACCGGGGGAACCCCGUGGGAAACGGCCCCCCCCGCGGCCGAGCAUCUGCCGCCGCAAAGCCCCCCCCGGCGGCCCCCCCUUCCCACAGCCACAGAGCGCUGGGAGCUGGAGCAGCUGCUGGGGGGCUGCGGGUUGGGGGGGGGCCAGGAGGAGAACCCCCCCGGCGCCCCGCAGGGACCCCCCGUGCCCCAUAGCGCCCCCGUGCCCCAUAGUGCCCGCAGCGACUCGGUGCCACAUCCAGACUCUGUGCCCCAUAACAUCGUGGCGCCCCAUAGCGCCGCCGUGCCCCAUAGCGCCCGCAGUGACGCCGUGCCCCAUCCAGACUCUGCGCCCCAUAACAUCGUGGCGCCCCAUAGCGGCCCCGUGCCCCAUAGCUGCCCCGUGCCCCAUAGCUGCUCCGUGCCCCAUAGCUGCCCCGUGCACCGUAGCCUUUCAGCACCCUAUAGCACCCUGCCACCCCAGAGCGACCCCGUGCCCCACAGCUGCUUCGUGCCCUAUAGCGCCCUGCCCCCCCAUGCUGACCCUGUGCCCCAUGGCGCCGCCGCGCCCUGUUGCCCCCUGGAGCCCUAUGGCACCCCGACACCCCACGGCCACUCGGUGCUUCACAGUGCCGCAGCGCCCCAUAGCGGCACCUCAGCACCCCACAGCACCCAAAGUGCCUUCAGUCCCCCGACACCCCAUAGCCCCCCAUCGCCCUAUAGCAGUCCAUCACCUCGUGGCACACUGACACCCUACAGCAGCACUGCGACACCCCAUAGCGGCACCUCAGCGCCCCAUAGCGGCACCUCAGCACCCCAUAGCACCCACGUGCCCCAUAGCACCCAAAGUGCCUUCAGUCCCCCGACACCCCAUAGCCCCCCAUCGCCCUAUAGCAGUCCAUCACCUCAUGGCACGCUGAUACCCUACAGCAGCACUGCGACACCCCAUAGCGGCACCUCAGCACCCCAUAGCACCCAAAGUGCCUUCAGUCCCCCAACACCCCAUAGCAGCACCUCAGCGCCCCAUAGCGCCCACGUGCCCCAUAGCACCCAAAGCGCCUUCAGUCCCCCGACACCCCAUAGCACCCCAUCGCCCUACAGCAGCACUGCGACACCCCAUAGCGCCCACGUGCCCCAUGGCACCCAAACCCCAAUGGCGCCCCAUAGCCGUGGCCACGCCCAUUUCGAACACGCCCACUUUGGCCACGCCCACUCAGGCCCCGCCCUCCAGCGCCGCCCCAGCUUGGCCCCGCCCCCUCGCAGUCUGUGCCCGGGGGGCGGGGCCGAGGAAGGGGGGCGGCGCCGAGCGCAGCGAUCGCUGUCCGAAGGGGCGGGGCCUGCGCUGGCCACGCCCCCCUGCCCCCUCUGCGAGCCACGCCCAUUCCCUGUGGGACCCCCCCCCAAAAUUGGAACCCCGGGGAGCCC